AUACGUAGGGUGCAAGCGUUAAUCGGAAUUACUGGGCGUAAAGCGUGCGCAGGCGGUUUUGUAAGACAGUGGUGAAAUCCCCGGGCUCAACCUGGGAACUGCCAUUGUAACUGCAAGGCUGGAGUGCGGCAGAGGGGGAUGGAAUUCCGCGUGUAGCAGUGAAAUGCGUAGAUAUGCGGAGGAACACCGAUGGCGAAGGCAAUCCCCUGGGCCUGCACUGACGCUCAUGCACGAAAGCGUGGGGAGCAAACAGGAUUAGAUACCCUGGUAGUCCACGCCCUAAACGAUGUCAACUGGUUGUUGGGGAUUUAUUUUCUCAGUAACGAAGCUAACGCGUGAAGUUGACCGCCUGGGGAGUACGGCCGCAAGGUUAAAACUCAAAUGAAUUGACGGGG
rnacentral:rRNA from 1 species